rnacentral:rRNA from 1 species
UACAUGGGGUGCAAACGUUGCUCGGAAUCACUGGGCGUAAAGGGCGCGUAGGCGGCCGUGUAAGUCACUUGUGAAAUCCCGGGGCUCAACUCCGGGGCUGCAGGUGAGACUGCAUGGCUAGAGCUUGGUAGAGGCGAGUGGAAUUCCCGGUGUAGCGGUGGAAUGCGUAGAUAUCGGGAAGAACACCGGUGGCGAAGGCGGCUCGCUGGGCCAAUGCUGACGCUGAGGCGCGAAAGCGUGGGGAGCAAACAGG